GUGCUCGCUUUGCCAGCGCAUACACAAAAAUCUGUACAGAAAAGAUUGGUAUGGUCCCCAGUGCAAGGAUGGCAUAUACAUUCAUGGAAUGUCCCAUUUUUUU